rnacentral:rRNA from 1 species
AAGAGACAGCAGUAGCCGCGGUAAUACGAGGGGGGCAAGCGUUGUUCGGAAUUAUUGGGCGUAAAGGGUGCGUAGGCGGCUUGACAAGUCUUGUGUGAAAUCUAUGGGCUCAACCCAUAGUCUGCACGGGAAACUGUCGGGCUUGAGAAUGGGAGAGGUGAGUGGAAUUUCCGGUGUAGCGGUGAAAUGCGUAGAUAUCGGAAGGAACACCUGUGGCGAAAGCGGCUCACUGGACCAUUUCUGACGCUGAUGCACGAAAGCUAGGGGAGCAAACAGGAUUAGAUACCCCUGUAGUCCCUGUCUCUUAUAC